GCCGGGGUGGCGGAAUAGGCAGACGCAAGGGACUUAAAAUCCCUCGGGCAUUUAAUGCCCGUACCGGUUCGAUUCCGGUCUCCGGCACCA
rnacentral:tRNA from 1 species